GUCUGCUUGGUGGGUGGUAAUUAAAGUCAAGCCUGUAGGUCGAGUGGAAGUGGAGAAUGUGUUUCCAGUUGCGUUCCAGGCUGACGACAUAUCAAUUGUUCACCAAACAGUUGACAAUGAGUUAGAAGAUGAUUUAGAGCAUGCAGAACACAUAUUAGAAGAAAUAAAUACAGAAGAAAUUAAUGCAGAGGUGAAUGAAUGUAAUAAUGAAAACGAAACAACUGAUGAGGAAGAAUGGUCAGAAGAGGGAGAUGGGGAUGAGGAUUAAUAGCAAUUAGGUCAGGAUGGAUAAAGAAGAAAGGUUUUAAAGGAUCCUUUGGGGAAGCAGCAGCUUCGGCAAAGGUGAAAAGAGGGGUAAGAAAACAAAGAAGAGUAAGGAGACGGGGGUUCCCCAGAGAACACCAAAAAACCUUGUGAUUAGAGAUAGAAGCCCGUCACCAUGUCUCCCACCACGCGGCGCUCCAUUGCCUCAUGACCCCUUUAUGAACGGCAUUGCAUAUAGUCUUCCACCUCUAUACAGCUUUGGUCGGCCCUAUAUAGCUCCAUGACAAGGCUUUACUGAGGUGUCUCCCCUGAGCCCCUCGAUGAUGUCCACACCAGGUUAUGCUACUCCACAGGGCUUCACUCGGUAUACUCUCGGAUCUCAGCGGGCGUCGUCUAGUGGUACACCGACAGCUACGCCCAGCCCGACUGUAUCACAUCAUUCUUCAUCAUCUACUGAACAGUACGAGAUUACGGGUCUUGUCCUUCGAGAAAGUAGUUCUGCACCUCACACUCCUACCACAAAUGACUUACCUGGAGGCGUCAGUGCUCCAUAACUGGAAUCUUAUGACUCAUCAGGGCAACUCAUCAUCGAGCUUGCGGGAUAUGGGUAUGAUUUAUCCUUCUGCAAGGUUUUCUUUAUUUAUGUUUUUGUUUGUUCUCUAAGUGUUUAAUUUUAUAUUUUUGGUAGUUGGUUACCGGACAAAGCUUCAAGACUCCUUACAGAUGAGAUGGAAAAACUAUUUAAAGACUCACCUACUUGGGGCCAGAUGUCACCAAAUCGCCAGAGACAGAUCUUUUAUGUGUUUAAGGAAAAAUGUGUCUGGCGCCCGGAACAUGAGAAGCAGCUAACUCAAAACUUCAAGAAGAAAGCUCAGCGCUUACUAUGUGACAUGUUAGGAAGGGUUCGUGAAUCUAACAAGAAGCCUAAGUGGAUCCUUCCUGAAAACUAUGACAAGCUACUCCAUUACUGGGCAACUAAUGAAAGAUUCUUACAACUGAGUGAAAUAGGGAAGAAAGCUAGAAAUUCAAUGAAGGGUGGCUCCCUGCACACUAGUGGGACUAUGAGCCAAGAGGCCGUGAGGAGGAAGCUGGCAAGUCUACCUUAAGUGUACUUGUAGGAUUGUGAAUUUACUUUAUUUUCUUUAUGUCUUAUCAAUUUAUUCUUUUGCAGGAACUAAAACGGGGAACGCCAGUGCCUUAAGAUGAGGCAUUCAAGAUCACUCACGUGAAGAAGAAGUCAAACACUAAUGAUCCAGAUGAGUGGUGUGAGGAACGGGCUAAGCAGACCUACAAUCAGUAUCAACAUUUAAAGGCGGAGUGUCUUCGUACUCAGCCACCCAACACACAGCUGACAUAAGAACAAAUAGAGGAAAGGGGGCUUGGGAGUGUUGGUGGUCCCACUAGGUUUGGCACAGCUUACGGAAUGCCACAUCGUGCAUUUCAUCAAUACUGGUCGCCCCUGGAAGGCCUACAUUCUUCCAAUACCGAGUCGUUCGAUAGAGUGAGUGUUAUGGCCAUGGAGAAAAAGAUUGUUGAGCUAUCUAGCUAGCUACAGGACUCGGAGGAAAGGGAGAGGUGGAGGGACAUGCAGUUUGACGGUAUGAGGGCCCAAUUAGACGCAUUACUUGCUUCGAGGGGGAUUCCCUCAUGUCCUGAUGAUACUCGUAA